rnacentral:misc_RNA from 1 species
GAAAUGCGAUAAGUAAUGUGAAUUGCAGAAUUCAGUGAAUCAUCGAAUCUUUGAACGCACAUUGCGCCCGGCAGCAAUCUGCCGGGCAUGCCUGUCCGAGCGUCAUUUCUCCCCUCGAGCGCGGUUCGGCCCCUAGCGGGCCGUGCCGCCGCCCGGUGUUGGGGCACUGCGGGCCCUCGAGCCCGCAGGCCCUCAAAUGAAGUGGCGGUCCCGCCGCGGCGCCCCCUGCGUAGUAGUAAAGCACCUCGCAUCGGGUCCCGGCGACGGCCAGCCGUCGAACCCAUAUCACUUUUGAUGGUUUGACCUCGGAUCAGGUAGGGAUACCCGCUGAACUUAA